GGAAGGGGUGAGGGAAGGCAGGGGAGGAGAUGCCAGGGAAGGGGUAGGGAGGGGAGAUGUCGGCAGGGAAGGGGUGGGAGAGGGCAGGGUGGGGCCCACCCCGAGAGGAGGUGUCUUCGGAGCCCCACGAGGCUGCCAGGCACCGCAGGCUCCUUGGCCCUCCCGCAGGGCAGUGAGGCAGCGUCGUUAUCCUGGCCUCCCUGGUGGGAUAACGGUUAUCGCACGCAGUUAGCGCAUCGGACUGGCGCCCAGUGAACAACCUGAGACACUCAGGAAAGUGCACGUGACGGGAGACAAGGCUGCACGAGAACAAAGGAGACAAGACAGGACGUGAGACAGCAAGGGACGCCUCCGGGGGACAGUGGGACAGACUCUCAAGCAGACAGCAGCCCGCAAGCAGGAUGGUGGUCGGUCUCCAACAAGAGGCCGUGUCCCCGGAGCCAGGACCUCUCUAAACCACGAGUAAACCGCCGCCACGUGUAGGCUCCCCAAGCCACCCAGCGGCCAAGACCGCCCGCUCAAGACCUACGGAGGUGGCACCGGGAUGCGGACACGUGGCCGGACGAGGUGAAAGCCCAUUAUGUGGCCACGAUGUGCCACUCGCCGGGUCACCGAGCCCCGUGGAAAGGUGAGGGCCCGGAGGGUGCAGUGUUUAUUCCCGUAUCUCGCAGCGUCACAACGUCCUUCGGUGGCGGCCGUGUUUCCCUUGUGGCCGCAUCUGGGAAAACUGGGCCCCAGAACGGAGCUCUGAUCGCCACACCCCUGCUCCAGCGUGCUUCUCCCACCGGCUGCGGUCCGCACGUUCACAGCCCCCAAGACUCCUGGGUCCCCUCUAAUCCCCUGUGGGACGGGACCAGGGGGGGAUUUGGGCAUGAGGGUGGAGCUUUCACUGGGAUGAGUGCCCUUUUAAGCAGAGGCAGGAGACCUCGCUUCCCUCUCUCUGCCCCCGGCCACGUGAAGAUACAGCGAGAAGGCGUCCAUGGGCGAGCCCUCACCAGACACGCGGCCGGCACCUUGACCUUGGACUUCCCGCCUCCAGGACUGGCAGAAGUAAGUAUCUGCGGGUUGAGCCGCCCAGUGUGUGGCACCCUCGUCACUACAGUCGCUUGAGCAGACUGAGACCCAGUCCCCGGGACACAGCACCUGCGAUGCCCAGGUCAGGAGGGACACUUCUCGGUCAAGAAAUCUGUAAAACCCGGGGCGCCUGAGCCUGGGUGGCUGUCGGUGGGGCGGCCGACUUCAGCUCAUCUCACGG